rnacentral:rRNA from 1 species
UACGUAGGGGGCAAGCGUUGUCCGGAAUCAUUGGGCGUAAAGCGCGUGUAGGCGGAUCGGCACGUCCGUGGCUGAAAGCCCCCGGCUCAACCGGGGAAGUGGCGUGGAUACGGCCGAUCUGGAGGGGGGUAGGGGGACCUGGAACUUCCGGUGGAGCGGUGAAAUGCGUUGAGAUCGGAAGGAACGCCCGUGGCGAAAGCGAGGUCCUGGACCAUUUCUGACGCUGAGACGCGAAAGCCAGGGGAGCGAACGGG